AGGCUGGAGCGGUCGCAAAUAGCUCAGAUGGGGACAGGCGGUGAGUUUGAGGUUGGUGCCGUGCUUGUUUUUGCUGCUGCUUCAACCCAUUGUUGUCCAUUGUACGGACCCAACGUACAGCACGUACCUUUCGUAUGUCUGCUGUUGAACAGGCUUUACUGGCUGGUUAAAUUUCCACAAUGGAACCAAAACCGCAAAGCGCAAAGUGGACGGUCGGCUACAGGAAGGGAAAGAAAGGAAAAAAACAAACAGCCAAAUGGACGGAAAUGGCCCUUGUUCAACUCUGUCUGGUCAGGGACUUCGGAGACCGGCCAUCCACAUGAACAUGAUCCUUGGUGCAGAUGGCCUAUUCUUGGACAUGUUAGACAUGGUUUGAGAGGAAAUGUGGGCAUAAGCGAGAGAUUUGAGAGGUUAAAGCGGCGGUCGUAAUUGGUCCCUGCUACAUUGUUGGGCAGCGCUCGCAUUUGGCCGCUCAAUGACCGUCGUAUCUCGCAGCCAUAAUCACCCCAUUUUUUUUCCAUCUCCCUAUCAACAGCUUGUUCCUAUGAUAACUGGUUUCAUACUUAUGAUACAAUAUGGGCGAUAGCAAACCAACCAGCUGGAGAUGUUACAAUUCGAAACAAACAACCAACCACCUCCCGUCUUGCUGCCUAAUCUCAUCAUCUCACCACAAACAGCCGCCUCCUUCAUCAUAUGAAAGAAAGACAGCCGAGCGAUAAUAAGCAGGGCAUGCACAAACUCUGGGUGUGAGAGAGAUGAAAGUCUUGCUCGAGAGGAGAGGUGGAUGAAGAGACGUGGGGGGCUGCUUACCAGUACAAGUACCCAUACUUAUCAUAGCACUGAUGCGUGGGGGGAUACGCCCUCGAUCCGUUACGUGCACGGUGCUCGCAAUGGUGCUGUUGUAACCACGCGUAUAGCCGUCCACGAAAGCGUUUUUAUUGCUCGUCGUACCACCAAGUCUAGUGGAAGGGGAUAAAAAAAGAAACGACUAUCAGUUUGAUGGUCUGGGUCGCCUGGAAAUAUAUGCGGAAUGCACACCCGGCAUGACAUGUUAAUCUCGUGUUCAAGCACCUUUCCAGCAUCGGAAGACCAAAUCUAACCAAACAGGGAGCCGUGAGGCUAUGCGUUUGCUCCAGCAACAGCAAUGGCUGCAAAUAGGGUCUCGACUCUCUGAAACACCACCUGGAGCAGCCGGUGGUCAACUCGAAGCAAACUCUCUCGGUUGGAGUAAACAACGUUCGGCUGCUCGAUACGCCAAAGAAGGUCUAACCCAAGCCUAGAGACGGGUGGGCUCUAUCUGGGGCCACUCCGGUCUGUUUAUGACUCAAUGUAGCAGUGGGCUCGGUGUGAUGCCGGUCUUUCUUUGUACUCGGGCUUGUACUGUAGCUCAGAGGUGUGUUUCCUUGACUCAUGACUCGCUCAAACGAUAACCCUGGCAGCUGAGAGAGUUGCGACACUUGAGCUCUACUGUCUGGUGAGCUCAGUCAGGUUCUUGGACCGGUUAAUUCCGUCGAAUACCAAUAGAUUAAUCAACAGUGUAGCUCACGUUGUAUGGACCUUGUCCUUCCAAAGUGGCCCGCAACAGUCGUGUUUCUCUCUGCUGAUGCUUUCAAAUUACCCAAUUGAACUCAUCCGUUGGACAACAAGAGAGUGGGGUUCUGGAGGAGUUAGGGACUUGAUUAAUCUGUUCAAAACGCGGUCCCUGGCGAAUUUCCACGUUUUUUGUCUGAAUAUUAACACAUCUUUCUGCUCUUGGCCACUCUCUCGGUUGGUAGUUGCCGUAAAUGAGCCUUUAUGGUGGCUGCUUCACUUUCGACUUUUCUAUCCAGCCCAGCCCAUCUCAUCAACAGGCAGCUCUUGCCGAAGUCAUGGAUUCAGCUCUUUUAGCCCAUCACUCCGCGACUUCAGACCACUUGGACCUUCAGACACUUGGACUUGGACCACCUUUUGGGGUGUCACUUGGUAUCCGUCUUCUUCUCUUGACAAUGGUAUCGAGUCUGUCCUUCUAAAUGGGCAGCCAUAGUGGAUAUCUUCUUAGUUGCCUGUCUGCUCAUCAACUCAUCCGCUCGUCAACUCAUCCGCUCAUCCGCUCAUCAACUCAUCCGCUCAUCAACUCAUCCGCUCAUCUGCUCAUCUGCUCAUCUGCUCUUCAGCCCAUCAACGGUCUCACAGCUCCAGUAACAAAGCUGAGUCGGUAUUUGAAUGAACAGAGCGAGCAGUAUCAACACUUUCGACAGCUGCCAUUCGCUCGGUAUUCACCUCGUCACUCAGGCUCACUUGGCCACAGCUUCGAAAACAUGAUGAUCAUAACCGCUGGAGACUCUCCUGUCUUCUUCCGUGCGCUUGCCGAUUUAUGGGCGGUUGCAAACGACCUCCAUUGAAGAUCAGUGUUGGUGGGAAGUUUUUAAGGGUCUUCCUGGGUGUGUUCUGACCCACCUGGUUCAAUUUCUUGGUCCCUGGCUGGAGUUCUGUGAGUAUUUCUGAUUUUUCUGAUUUUCGUGAUUUUCCUUUGAAUUAUCAGAAAGCAGAAAGCAGAAAUCAAAAAUUUAUAAUGGCGGUGUUCAUUGCCAGGAUGCUCUUCAAGACUUUCUCUGGGUACGCUCGGGAUACUGCUCUGUUACAGUAUGGCAGAGUGAUGGACCUGUUGAUCUCCUUGCCAAUGGUUCCGUCAUUGUCCUCAAUCGACGUGAGUAAACGACAACAGAAUUUGACAGACUCCAACACUCCGACCGACUCCAUCACUCUGACCGACUCCAACACUCCAACAGACUCCAUCUCUCAAACCGACCCUGACACUCCGACUAUUCUCCUGUCUUCUUAGUAGCACCGCCCGUAUCCUGCCCUGGUGAAAUGACGCUGAAGGUAAGUGGCUACUACCAGUACCAACACUCUCUGAUACAGGUAUCGUACUGUACGACAGGAAUGCCGCUUCUGACAGCGCGCUUUCGUUGAGUUAGUCUGAAAGCAGCUCCGAGUAAUGUCUACCACACUGGUUCUUCCUGAGUGGUAUCAUCUUCCUGAACAGUCGUCAAGUUCACAGCCAGAAAACGGUUGAUUCAAGAGAUUCGUGAACUCGUUACUGUCAAAUAUCGGUCUGUUGGUCUCGGACUCUCUUCCCAUUUCGUCGCCCAUUCAGAACUGAGACAUGCACCCUGCUGAAGCACUAUGCACAAUGGACCUGAUGCAUGAUGGUGCUUAAGAGGGACCAUCAGAGGAGCCCAGUGGACAGUUGAGGCCGGCGGAGAUCGGUAUUGUGCUCCUUACUUCGUACUCCUACUCGAAGAAUUGAUCGUUGGGAGGAGUGGUUCUGGCCAACCAGUCAACUUGCUUCUUCCUGCUACAAUACAAUUAGUGAGUAGAUCUUCUCUCCCGAGAUCAGACCUGGUUCAACGAAAAUCUUUGUCCAAAACCAAGCUUUCUUUGUCACGAUUAGAUCCAAUAUUGUGGGUCCAAGGAAUGACACAAUUGUGCAUAGAAAGCUAUCUAAUUUAGAGCGAAACUAAGCACAUGGACCGUCCAUUAGUUGCAUACAAGCAGGUACCGUUUCAUUUCUUUUAGAUGCUCUAUUUUGUGAUUUUUCGAAAUGGUUCGUUGACGUUUGUCGACAAGUCUUUAUAUUGUUUACCGCGCAGCAAGAGAGGUCGAUAUCCACACCUUCCCAGCGAUAAAUGAGGUUGAUACUGGUAUCAAAAUACUCGCAGCGUUUCGGUGAAUGCAUUGAGCACUUCAUUUCGUCUUUUGAGUGGACCCUCUGGGUAAAAGAGGGCCUAUAUGGACGGAGUGACUGGUGGUGCUAAUCUGAGAGUAUCAUGAGAAAUGCAGAUGAGUUGGGAACUUGAAGACUGAAGGACUGAAGCCCUGCUAUGUUGUAGUCCGUUUACAUGGUACCCCCUGUAUACGAUUGAGAGUGCUGCUCGUUCUCCGACCACUCC
rnacentral:misc_RNA from 1 species